UGCCCAGCAACUGCUAUCCCUACCUCCUCGCGGCACUGGCCGGGGUAUGAGAGUAACAUUAGGCAAGAUCGGGUAACCAACACCGAUGGGAACUUUGGUCGUAUGCUGACAGGGAAGG
rnacentral:ribozyme from 1 species